UCGUUGCAUUGCAUUUUUGGCUUUCAGGUUUCAACUACGAAGUCACACACACAAGCAAAGCAAGCGAGGCUAUGAAGCUCGAGAGCUCAAAUUGAAUUGAAACAGAGAGGGAGUUUUUCAUUCGUCUUUACUUUUCUUGGAUCCUCGAAUUAGGGUUUAUCAGAGUUUUUGCACUUGGAUCUCUAAACGAAAUGCACAAGGAGGCGAGGGUAGGAGUAGUGGUGCAAGGAGGUCAGAGGGCCCUGAAUUCUGCCCACGGCGCCGGCGCCGGCGCCGUCGAUGGGUCAGGGACGCGUAAAUUGUCUAGUAUACCGCAGCAGCAACCGAAAAUGUCGCAGAUCGGGGCGAUAUCUCAGCUUCUCGCUGGCGGCGUCUCCGGUGCUCUUAGCAAAUCUUGCACCGCUCCGCUUGGACGCCUCACCAUACUUUUUCAGGUGCAAGGCAUGCACACUGAUGCUACAACAUUGAGAAAAGCUAGCAUAUGGCGUGAGGCGUCACGAAUUGUUAGUGAAGAGGGUUUCAGAGCUUUCUGGAGAGGGAAUCUGGUUACAAUCACUCAUCGUCUACCCUAUUCGUCUGUCAACUUCUAUGCAUACAAGCACUAUAAAAAGUUACUACAUAGUAUUCCUGGACUGGCGAAUCAUAAGGAAAAUAAGGGUGCAGAUCUUUUUGUACAUUUCGUUGGUGGUGGUUUGUCUGGAAUGACAGCUGCAUCAACUACAUAUCCGUUGGAUCUUGUAAGAACACGCCUUGCAGCUCAGACAAAUGUGAUGUACUACCGAGGUAUUUGGCAUGCCUUGCAAACUAUUAGGAGGGAAGAGGGUGUAUUAGGCCUCUACAAGGGACUUGGGGCAACACUUCUGGGUGUUGGCCCUAAUCUUGCUAUUAGCUUUUCAGUUUACGAGUGUUUGAGAUCUUUGUGGCAGUCAAAUAGGCCCCAAGAUUCCACUGUCAUUGUCAGUCUAGCUUGUGGCAGUCUUUCAGGCAUUGCAUCAUCAACCGCUCUUCACUAUGCUUUUGAUGCAGAGAAGCAACAUGUGGUGCAACCUCUGCAUUAAGCAUCUAACCAGACUGAUCCUAGAGCCAGGACCCAGACUGAAGUUGUUUUCAUUGGUUCAAUCAUGAGUUGGCAUUGUUCAGGUGAACCAUUACUGUGCACUCGGUUAUCAAAUCUGUGAGAGGUGGCCUCUUUGAGGUAUGCUUCUCACUAGGCUUUCCUUUGCCAAAUGGUUGGUGGGAGCCCUUAAGCCUUGCUGUGGAUAUGUGUGGAUGAUUUUUAUUGGUAUUGUCGCUGAAUUAUUUAUUUUCAUUGUCCAGCUACAAUGUCAGUAAGAAAUUGAAUCAGGCUGGAUAAUUAAUUAAGUGCAUGCUUGAGGCUAAAAUCAUUUUAAAAGCUUGCAUGUCCUUUUUAUACUUUCUAUACUUUUUUAUUGUCUUCUAUUUGCUACAUUUUGUGAGUGGUUUUUUCUUGUGUCUAAGACAUGUCCAUGUAGUAUUGCACUAGAUCAAUGAACACCAGCUUAGCGGCUAUGCGGCUCUUUUCAUCUUCUUUUUUUCUGUAUUAAAUGCAGUUACUUUUCCUCUGGAUCUUGUAAGGAGAAGGAAACAAUUGGAAGGGGCUGGUGGACGAGCAUGUGUUUACAAGACCGGGCUUUUCGGUAUAUUUAGACAUAUAACCAAAACUGAAGGUAUUCGUGGUCUGUACAGAGGGAUUA